UGACAAAAUUCUGUCAUCUUACUCGAAGAGCAGAGGGGGAAAUCCAGACAUCCAGUGGAUGCUGAGGCCUCCUUAAUUGUGCUCCCUGUGAUUAAACAACUCUUUGAAGACAUCAGUAGAAGUUAUUUCGUCCAUGUGGGAAUGUCGCUUCCCAGAUGAUCAAGCAAAAGGGAUACGGAAAACCUGAAGACCUGUUCCACUCACUGCUGCAUGGCUAUGUCUAACCUGAGAGCAUAGGAUAACUCUGGUGUACUCCUGAUGAGGCUGAUGCUCUACCCACAGCUGAUCAUU